GUACAGUGAUGACAUUCUUAGGACACCUUUGGAGGUUAUGACUAAUGAAAAGAAAACAUGUUCUGAGUACU
rnacentral:snoRNA from 8 species